GCUCUUUCGCCGCGCCUCCGGCUCGCCUAUAUUCAGUGCGCCGGGGCAACCCGGCUAUGGCGAUAAACGGCCAUCGCAAUAAGCCUUUCGGACCCGGGGGCAGUACCCGGCGCCUCCACCAUCAGGGCCGCCCAGGCGGCGUUGGUGAUGGGGGCGAAACAGGAUCGACGAGGGUGUAAAGGGUGGACUUUUGCUCGGCAUGGUUCCGCCGUUAUCGGGCCGUCUCAAUAGUUGCCAACGACAACUAUGCUCCGGUGGCCGUUGCCGCGUAAUGCGGUAAUGGUACCGAAAUCAAAGUCCUUGCGGGUAGCACUGUAAGGCGGGGUUCGGAGGCACCUGGCAACAGAAGCCUCCACU
rnacentral:tmRNA from 1 species